UGUGCUGUCGGCCGUACGAGUUGCUACGAUGUGUUUGUUUGAUCGUGUUUUAGCCUUUGCUGUUAUAAACUGCGACUUAGUUCGCGUGCACAAAAGUGCCAGAAGAUUGCUUGUGUCUCGCUGCAAACUCGCGGUAUGCGUGGCGCGCCAGGCAAAUGUGCACCAACGAUUUUCAUGCCAUGGGGUGCGCUCCCUUUGUCCCUGGUUGUUGUGAAGAGUUCGGUGGAGGUCGCAAAGAAAUGAUGCGUAUUAUUAGCGUUCCGCAUGUCGUCCACUACGCAACGGCGUGUAUGCGGGAAUUACUUUCCAGCUCCGGCAACUUGGAGGGCGCUUUUCGACCGCAUCGUACCAUUUAAAAGUGGCGAGGCCGUGACCAAGCCGUGACCAACAAUAGUGUCCACGUCGGGGAGGAGCUAUGGCUGCAGCAGCACGGUGUGUAAUCGGAUGGUCUGGUCAGGUACAGAUUGGUGUGGGAUUUGUGAUGCCACUCAGCAAGUGGCAUUACAUAUUCAAGUCUGCUUCCGACACAGAGUGCACUUUAGAUGUGGCACCGCACCUGUAGACACCAGUGCAAGCAGGUGAAAGUAGCCUGACUGGACAGGCCUGCCGGACAAGGUGCCAUGCGUCUGGGAAGCUUCUGGCAACACCGGAGAAAGUGGCUGCUUUGAAGAGUGUUCGUGCAAGGGCAAGUGCGCAUCGGCGAUGGCCUUCUGAUACAGAUUGAACAUCUUCCUUCGACGUCAUCAGUACCAUGCCUAUACGUGUCCUACGCUGCGCUGAUUCCGCACGUUGUCGGGCCGACUGACUCGCCACCCCAGGCAUCAUCGGAGGUGGACCGUCCUUUCUGCGCACCGGCGACGACGGCGACAAUGUCGAGGGUGUAUAAAAAUGAGAGCCAACUGCGCGCCGACUUCAGUGAGCUUGGUGGCACCAUCCGAGACGCAAUGCUCAAACCUUUGUUCGUCUUCAUACAGUGUCUUCUGCUUGGCACGUGGCUUCCAUCGACACCUGGCGCUUCGGUGACUGCGCAGUUGCCGCUGGACCUGAAGUUCUCGGCGCCGAUGGUGGAUGAGUGGUGCCUACGUUAUCGACGGAACCCGGGCACCAUCUAGAGUUUUUCUUCAAGUGAACCAGUGGCGUCAACAACGACAGCACCAUUACCGGCCUACUCAAGCGACUGGCAUCACCACGCUGCCUUCAGUGGGCGUGAGAGAGCGGCAGACAUGCGUUGGCCGCUAAUUCCUCCUUUCGAUAUCCUUGUGCAGCCAAAUGCGCUUGACUGCUGUGGGGCGGCGACAAAUGAAGAGGAGGAAAAGGGCAGGUGUCUCGGCUGAGGCGGCAGCCACGCGAACUGCCCAAGCUGCCUCGGCGGGCCUUUGGUUCCGAACGAGCCAAGCACUUCGUCUACCCAAGGCCGGUGUUCCAGGGUGUGCUGGCAGAACAGGCCGGGCUGUCCUUGGGCUUCAACCGGCCUGCUCCCCUGCUGGGCAAGCAUCCGACGCUGGCGUGUUCCAGUGUAGCCAAGCCUUCCGAACGGGCUACUCUGUGGUGCCCUGCUCGCUCUCACCCAUGCAACACUUUCCAGCGGUGUUCUCCUGGCACACUGGGUGCGUCGAAGUACCAUUAGAAGGUCCAAUAAACGGUGCUUGUGAC